AGAGCGAACGCUGGCGGCAGGCUUAACACAUGCAAGUCGAGCGGGCGUAGCAAUACGUCAGCGGCAGACGGGUGAGUAACGCGUGGGAACAUACCUUUUGGUUCGGAACAACCCAGGGAAACUUGGGCUAAUACCGGAUAAGCCCUUACGGGGAAAGAUUUAUCGCCGAAAGAUUGGCCCGCGUCUGAUUAGCUAGUUGGUGAGGUAACGGCUCACCAAGGCGACGAUCAGUAGCUGGUCUGAGAGGAUGAUCAGCCACAUUGGGACUGGGACACGGCCCAAACUCCUACGGGAGGCAGCAGUGGGGAAUAUUGGACAAUGGGCGCAAGCCUGAUCCAGCCAUGCCGCGUGAGUGAUGAAGGCCCUAGGGUUGUAAAGCUCUUUUGUGCGGGAAGAUAAUGACGGUACCGCAAGAAUAAGCCCCGGCUAACUUCGUGCCAGCAGCCGC
rnacentral:rRNA from 1 species